AGACCACGGUUUAUAAUUAACGCCAUUAAAAAUAGCCGUUGAAUCAAUCACAUGCAGCUAACAGGGCAGGGAAACUGUUGUGUAACCAGCAACCCAGAAGGAAACGCCAGAAGAAUGUCAUGAUCUAAAACCGUCCCAAGCAGCCGGAGAAGCCGGACCCCCCAAAAGUCUCUUCCAGAAUGUCCUACUCUUCGCUAAAUGCAGGCGACUUGAGACGCCCCGGGCUACAAAGAACAUCCAGUCGCUCCUUGAGCAGCCGGCAGAGCUACCAAACGCCAGAACUGGGCGAGCUGCAGCGCAUGUUGUGGUCACCUGUUCCUUGCCGGGCCAAUGUCAACGAAGUCUGGCCUAACCUUUAUAUUGGAGAUUUGUACAUAGCCCGGGAUAUAGAUCAGCUACGCCGGAUGGGCAUCUCCCACAUUGUGAAUGCGGCUGCGGGACGAUUCCACAUUGAUACGGGAGCCAAAUUCUACCGAGACUUGCCAGUUGAUUACUACGGAGUGGAAGCCGACGACGAUCCCAAGUUUGAUCUCAGCAUUUACUUCUACCCAACGGCUAAAUACAUCAGGGCAGCGCUGAACUCGCCCAGAGGCAAAGUAUUGGUUCACUGUGCCAUGGGGAUAAGCCGCUCAGCCACCCUGGUGCUGGCUUUCUUGAUGAUCUACGAAAACAAGAACCUCGUGGAGGCCUUAAAGAUUGUGCGAGAACACCGAGGAGUCUGCCCAAACACGGGGUUCCUCAGCCAACUUCGGGAGCUUGACCUCCGGUUAACGAGUGAGAAAGGGAAAGCAACAACAGGGAGGCCUUGAAACUUUAGGGAUAAAAUACUCGGAGGGCAGCAAGUCCCAGAGGAACAAUUGUGUCCCCCAGAAAUACCAAAAUUCCAAAGGUGCUGUGAUGUCUACCGGCCCUGCCAUGAAAACUCUCUCGCCAGCGUCUCAUUCAAGAUUAAAGAAACUUCACAUAUCAAGGAGUUUAGGCAAGAAUCCCUGGGGAAACCUGCUGGAAGAAAUGGAUUUGUUUUAUUUGGUCUUCAGAUGGGUGCAUCAGGACACGGGAAUGAAUAAGGAUUUCUUAGUCCAAUGAGCUGCCAGCAAAACGGUAUUUGGAGGUGGUGCCGCCUCCGUUCGCCUUUCUUUCCUCCCACAAAGCUACCAGCAGCACGGAGAACCAGCUGUUCAUUACUUUUCGCUUUCUUCCAGGUAGGGGAAGGUGGCGUCCUUUCUCUUCUUUGUUAUCUGCAUGCUCUACCUGCAAAGCAGACGGGCUGCGUUUCUCAACUUUGAAGACGUGAAGGUGUGUGGACUUCAACUCCCAGAAUUCCCCAGACAGCCUGUCUUGGGACAUGCCGUGACCCAUCAGAAUUUGGGAUGGCCACUAGAGCACCUCUAAUGAUCAUAGAAGAGGAAAAAGAGGCUAGAAAAAAGGAGCUAGUGCUUAUCCCAGAGCCUCUUUUCCCGAGUUCUCCUGGACCUUCCUGGGACACUCAGAUUCCCGCUUUCACACAGUCUCCCCACAGUCUUGGUUUUACUGCUUGCCAAGAAAUACCGGGCAAAUUGAAGAAGGGGCACCCCAGAAAAAGAGUGCGCCCUUCUUCCCUCGGCCCAACUGCCCUGUGCGCUUCCCCCAGGCUGUGGCCCGUCUGUGGGGCUGGGGGGGGUGUGCCUUCCACCCCAGACCGAAGAGGAGCAAGGCAGCUUUUUUGCGAACUCCGUCCAUUCAGUGCUCGGAGACCUCAGGCUCUCCGCUCUUGCUCCAGAACCAGCCUGGCCCGGCCCCGAUUUCAGGCCUGUGGCCAUCGGCUCCUUCCUGUUCCCUCUUCAGUUCCUGGCCGAGCCCGUUCUUCGCCUUCCGGGUUCUGCAACUUCAAUAAGCACUCGGGCUCUGCUCUCCUCUAACUUGGCUCUUGGCUUGGCUGAUUUAUGGCCUCACUUCUCUUCUGCAGGCAAAACCUCCGGAGGCGAGCCAAGGGCAUCAAUAAUGCAACACCAGCACUUAAGGCACCCUGGAUCGAGCUUCCCCAACCUGCUCAGGUCCAGAUGUGCUCGGUUAUCCCUGGCCGGGAAGGAGGGGAGGCAGGAUUUUUUCAUCCUCUUAAGACUGCAUGACUCCCACCACGACCCUAAACACACACACACAAGCAGAGAGACCGUGAAGGCAACACCUCCUCCUUUGUUUAGCAGAGGCUUAUGCAGUCACCUUUUUUUUUUAAAGUUUUGAUCUCUAGGCAUCCACAACAAAGGUUACUACUAUGCUAGUUAGUUUUAAAGUUUUAAUUGUUCAGCCUCUAGCCAUGAAUUUCUAACCUUGUUGGGCUUACUUGAUGAUAAUGAAAAAAACUGUCCUAAUUUUGAUGCUGAGAGAAAGACCAGUCUGCAUAACAACAGAGACUAUUGUUGGAUAUUGGGAAGGAAAGGGAGGAAGGAAGGAAGGAAGAGAGAGAGAGAGAGAGAAAGGAAGAAAGAAAGAAAGAAAGAAAGAAAGAAAGAAAGAAAGAAAGAAAGAAAGAAAGAAAGAAAGAAAGAAAGAAAGAAAGUUCUUGAACUGGACAUCAGACUAGAUUAAACCAAUUUAUAGUUUAAUCUGGUCAAUUUGUCCAUUAUAUAUAUAUAUUUUUAGCACACAGGUAGUCCUUGACUUACAUUCAUUUAGUGACUGUUCAAACUUACAGUGGCACUGAAAAAAGUGACUUAUGACUGGUCCUCACACUUAUGGCCAUUGCAACAUCCAUACAGCCUUUUGGCCACUGGCAUGUACUUAUGACAGUUGCACCUUCCUGGGGCCACAUGAUCACCUUUCAUGACCUUUCCAACUGUCUUCCGACAAGCCAAGUCAAGGGAGGAAGGCAGAUUUGCUUAACAACCUCGUGAUUCACUUAAGAAUUGCAGGAAUGUGCUUAACAGGUGUGGCAAAAAAGGUCACAAAAUGGAGCAAAACUCAUUUAAAAACUGCCUUGCUUAGCAGUGGAAGCUUUGGGAUCAGUUGUGUCAUAAGUUGGACACUACCUGUAUUCAAUAAGAGAAAGGUUGUCUACUUCCAGGGAAAACACAAGACACCACAGACACCCGGGGCCAGGUUUCGUAAGAUCAUCGGGGUGGGGGCCCUUCCCCUAUUUGGAGGGAAGCCGGGCUCAGGGGCUGGCACCAAGUGAGAGGAGACACGGCCAAGAAUCACAGCAAAAACAAGCCACAACUUCACUGGAGACGUGCGAUAUGAAACAACGGUGCAGCUGUCACUUCCGUGUUUCAAAAGUUGAAGAGUCCAGCUCUAAGCCAACAUUACAGGGCACGUGUGAUCUUUCC